AUUGAACGCUGGCGGCAGGCCUAACACAUGCAAGUCGAGCGGAUGAAGGGAGCUUGCGCCUGGAUUCAGCGGCGGACGGGUGAGUAAGUCCUAGGAAUCUGCCUGGCAGUUGGGGAUAACGUCCGUAAAGGGGCGCUAAUACCGCAUACGUCCUUAGGGUGAAAGGGGGGGAUCUUUGGACCUCACGCUAUCAGAUGAGCCUAGGUCGGAUUAGCUAGUUGGUGGGGUAAAGGCCUACCAAGGCGACGAUCCGUAACUGGUCUGAGAGGAUGAUCAGUCACACUGGAACUGAGACACGGUCCAGACUCCUACGGGAGGCAGCAGUGGGGAAUAUUGGACAAUGGGCGAAAGCCUGAUCCAGCCAUGCCGCGUGUGUGAAGAAGGUCUUCGGAUUGUAAAGCACUUUUAGUUGGGAGGAAGGGCAGUAAGUUAAUACCUUGCUGUUUUGACGUUACCAACAGAAUAAGCACCGGCUAACUUCGUG
rnacentral:rRNA from 1 species